UACGUAGGGUGCAAGCGUUAAUCGGAAUUACUGGGCGUAAAGCGUACGCAGGCGGCCAUGCAAGACAGGUGUGAAAUCCCCGGGCCUAACCUGGGAACUGCAUUUGUGACUGCAUGGCUAGAGUCUGUCAGAGGGGGGUGGAAUUCCACGUGUAGCAGUGAAAUGCGUAGAGAUGUGGAAGAACACCGAUGGCGAAGGCAGCCCCCUGGGAUAAGACUGACGCUCAGGUACGAAAGCGUGGGGAGCAAACAGG
rnacentral:rRNA from 1 species